rnacentral:rRNA from 1 species
CCUACGGGAGGCAGCAGUGAGGAAUAUUGGUCAAUGGACGAGAGUCUGAACCAGCCAAGUAGCGUGAAGGAUGACUGCCCUAUGGGUUGUAAACUUCUUUUAUAUGGGAAUAAAAUGUUCCACGUGUGGGAUUUUGUAUGUACCAUAUGAAUAAGGAUCGGCUAACUCCGUGCCAGCAGCCGCGGUAAUACGGAGGAUCCGAGCGUUAUCCGGAUUUAUUGGGUUUAAAGGGAGCGUCGGUGGAUUGUUAAGUCAGUUGUGAAAGUUUGCGGCUCAACCGUAAAAUUGCAGUUGAAACUGGCAGUCUUGAGUACAGGAGAGGUGGGCGGAAUUCGUGGUGUAGCGGUGAAAUGCUUAGAUAUCACGAAGAACUCCGAUUGCGAAGGCAGUUCACUGGACUGCAACUGACACUGAGGCUCGAAAGUGUGGGUAUCAAACAGGAUUAGAUACCCUUGUAGUC